CCUACGGGUGGCAGCAGUGGGGAAUAUUGGGCAAUGGAGGCAACUCUGACCCAGCAAUGCCGCGUGAGUGAUGAAGGUAAGUUUAUUGUAAAGCUCUUUUCUUUGGAACGAAUAAAUGACGGUACCAAAGGAAUAAGCCCCGGCUAACUACGUGCCAGCAGACGCGGUAAUCCGGAGGGGGCAUGCGUUGUUCGGAAUGACUGGGCGUACAGUGUGUGUAGGUGGUUUGAUAACUUAGAUGUGUAAUACCCAGGGCUUAACUCGGGUGCUGCAUCUAAAACUGGUAGACUUGAGUACUGGAGAUGAUAGUGGAAUUCGUGGUGUAGCGGUGGAAUGCGUAGAUAUUAGGAAGAACAUCAGUGGCGAAGGCGACUAUCUGGACAGCAACUGACACUGAGGCACGAAAGCGUGGGGAGCAAACAGGAUUAGAUACCCGAGUAGUC
rnacentral:rRNA from 1 species